AGCGGUGAAAUGCGUAGAUAUUAGAAAGAACACCAGUGGCGAAAGCGCUCUACUGGACCAUUACUGACACUCAGAGGCGAAAGCUAGGGUAGCAAAAGGGAUUAGAUACCCCUGUAGUCCUAGCCGUAAACGAUGGAUACUAGAUGUUGUGCUUUAAGUACAGUAUCGUAGCUAACGCGUUAAGUAUCCCGCCUGGGGAGUACGCUCGCAAGGGUGAAACUCAAAGGAAUUGACGGGGGCCCGCACAAGCGGUGGAGCAUGUGGUUUAAUUCGAUGCAACGCGAAGAACCUUACCAGGGCUUGACAUACUACAAAUUUCUUUGAAAGAAGAGAAGUGCCUUCGGGAAUGUAGAUACAGGUGGUGCAUGGCUGUCGUCAGCUCGUGUCGUGAGAUGUUGGGUUAAGUCCCGCAACGAGCGCAACCCUUAUUUUUAGUUACCAAUUCGUUGGGUUCUCUAGAAAGACUGCCGGUGACAAACCGGAGGAAGGUGAGGAUGACGUCAAGUCAGCAUGCCCCUUAUGUCCUGGGCUACACACGUGCUACAAUGGUUAAGACAAAGAGUUGCGAGCUCGUGAGAGUCAGCUAAUCUCAUAAACUUAGCCUAAGUUCAGAUUGUAGGCUGCAACUCGCCUACAUGAAGUUGGAAUCGCUAGUAAUCGCUGGUCAGCCAUACAGCGGUGAAUCCGUUCCCGGGCCUUGUACACACCGCCCGUCACACCAUGGGAGCUGGUCAUGCCCGAAACCGUUUGCUUAACCUUUUGGAGAGCGGCGUCUAAGGUAGGGCUAGUGACUGGGGUGAAGUCGUAACAAGGUAGCCGUACUGGAAGGUGCGGCUG
rnacentral:rRNA from 1 species